rnacentral:rRNA from 1 species
UACGGGGGGAGCAAGCGUUGUUCGGAUUUACUGGGCGUAAAGGGCGCGUAGGCGGCGCAACAAGUCACUUGUGAAAUCUCCGGGCUUAACCCGGAGCGGCCAAGUGAUACUGUCGUGCUAGAGUGCGGAAGGGGCUACUGGAAUUCUCGGUGUAGCGGUGAAAUGCGUAGAUAUCGAGAGGAACACCUGCGGCGAAGGCGGGUAGCUGGGCCGACACUGACGCUGAGGUGCGAGAGCGUGGGGAGCGAACCGG